rnacentral:lncRNA from 1 species
CUGGACAUUCCUGGACAUUGCUGGGAGCCAGACACUGAGUUGAUCAUAGUGUGCUGUCAACAGUGAAAGAAAAUCUGAGGGAUCCUCACAGAAACGGGGCGCACUUUGGAAUGAAGGAGCACUUUUGGUCUUGUACGUUCCUUGUUAAAGUUAUUCCUGGGCAUUGCAUAUUUGGUUGUUAUGGCUCUUGAUGGAGCAGGACCAAGAAGGGGAAAAGUGAGCAGUUCCCUAGACUGAACAAAGGAAAAUUCUAAAGUUUUUGAG